rnacentral:rRNA from 1 species
CGAGCGGACAGAUGGGAGCUUGCUCCCUGAUGUUAGCGGCGGACGGGUGAGUAACACGUGGGUAACCUGCCUGUAAGACUGGGAUAACUCCGGGAAACCGGGGCUAAUACCGGAUGCUUGAUUGAACCGCAUGGUUCAAUUAUAAAAGGUGGCUUUUAGCUACCACUUACAGAUGGACCCGCGGCGCAUUAGCUAGUUGGUGAGGUAACGGCUCACCAAGGCAACGAUGCGUAGCCGACCUGAGAGGGUGAUCGGCCACACUGGGACUGAGACACGGCCCAGACUCCUACGGGAGGCAGCAGUAGGGAAUCUUCCGCAAUGGACGAAAGUCUGACGGAGCAACGCCGCGUGAGUGAUGAAGGUUUUCGGAUCGUAAAACUCUGUUGUUAGGGAAGAACAAGUACCGUUCGAAUAGGGCGGUACCUUGACGGUACCUAACCAGAAAGCCACGGCUAACUACGUGCCAGCAGCCGCGGUAAUACGUAGGUGGCAAGCGUUGUCCGGAAUUAUUGGGCGUAAAGCGCGCGCAGGCGGUUUCUUAAGUCUGAUGUGAAAGCCCCCGGCUCAACCGGGGAGGGUCAUUGGAAACUGGGGAACUUGAGUGCAGAAGAGGAGAGUGGAAUUCCACGUGUAGCGGUGAAAUGCGUAGAGAUGUGGAGGAACACCAGUGGCGAAGGCGACUCUCUGGUCUGUAACUGACGCUGAGGCGCGAAAGCGUGGGGAGCGAACAGGAUUAGAUACCCUGGUAGUCCACGCCGUAAACGAUGAGUGCUAAGUGUUAGAGGGUUUCCGCCCUUUAGUGCUGCAGCAAACGCAUUAAG